UACGUAGGGUGCGAGCGUUAAUCGGAAUUACUGGGCGUAAAGGGUGCGCAGGCGGUUCUGUAAGUCAGAUGUGAAAUCCCCGGGCUUAACCUGGGAACUGCGCUUGAAACUACAGAGCUAGACAGUGGCAGAGGGGGGUGGCAUUCCAUGUGUAGCAGUGAAAUGCGUAGAGAUAUGGAAGAACAUCGAUGGCGAAGGCAGCCCCCUGGGUCAACACUGACGCUCAUGCACGAAAGCGUGGGGAGCAAACAGGAUUAGAUACCCUGGUAGUCCACGCCCUAAACUAUGUCAACUAGUUGUCGGGCCUUAUUAGGUUUGGUAACGUAGCUAACGCGUGAAGUUGACCGCCUGGGGAGUACGGUCGCAAGAUUAAAACUCAAAUGAAUUGACGG
rnacentral:rRNA from 1 species